AGCGAACGCUGGCGGCAUGCUUAACACAUGCAAGUCGCGCGGGCAGCAAUGUCAGCGGCGGACGGGUGAGUAACGCGUAGGAAUGUGUCCAGAGGUGGGGGACAACCCCGGGAAACUGGGGCUAAUACCGCAUAUGAGCUGAGGCUCAAAGCAGUAAUGCGCCUUUGGAGCAGCCUGCGUCCGAUUAGCUUGUUGGUGGGGUAACGGCCUACCAAGGCGACGAUCGGUAGCUGGUCUGAGAGGAUGAUCAGCCACACUGGGACUGAGACACGGCCCAGACCCUACGGGAGGCAGCAGUGGGGAAUAUUGGACAAUGGGCGAAAGCCUGAUCCAGCAAUGCCGCGUGUGUGAAGAAGGUCUUCGGAUCGUAAAGCACUUUCGACGGGGACGAUGAUGACGGUACCCGUAGAAGAAGCCCCGGCUAACUUCGUGCCAGCCGCCGCAGUAAGAC
rnacentral:rRNA from 1 species